rnacentral:rRNA from 1 species
CUAUACAUGCAGUCGUACGCUUCUUUUUCCACCGGAGCUUGCUCCACCGGAAAAAGAAGAGUGGCGAACGGGUGAGUAACACGUGGGUAACCUGCCCAUCAGAAGGGGAUAACACUUGGAAACAGGUGCUAAUACCGUAUAACAAUCGAAACCGCAUGGUUUUGAUUUGAAAGGCGCUUUCGGGUGUCGCUGAUGGAUGGACCCGCGGUGCAUUAGCUAGUUGGUGAGGUAACGGCUCACCAAGGCCACGAUGCAUAGCCGACCUGAGAGGGUGAUCGGCCACAUUGGGACUGAGACACGGCCCAAACUCCUACGGGAGGCAGCAGUAGGGAAUCUUCGGCAAUGGACGAAAGUCUGACCGAGCAACGCCGCGUGAGUGAAGAAGGUUUUCGGAUCGUAAAACUCUGUUGUUAGAGAAGAACAAGGAUGAGAGUAACUGUUCAUCCCUUGACGGUAUCUAACCAGAAAGCCACGGCUAACUACGUGCCAGCAGCCGCGGUAAUACGUAGGUGGCAAGCGUUGUCCGGAUUUAUUGGGCGUAAAGCGAGCGCAGGCGGUUUCUUAAGUCUGAUGUGAAAGCCCCCGGCUCAACCGGGGAGGGUCAUUGGAAACUGGGAGACUUGAGUGCAGAAGAGGAGAGUGGAAUUCCAUGUGUAGCGGUGAAAUGCGUAGAUAUAUGGAGGAACACCAGUGGCGAAGGCGGCUCUCUGGUCUGUAACUGACGCUGAGGCUCGAAAGCGUGGGGAGCAAACAGGAUUAGAUACCCUGGUAGUCCACGCCGUAAACGAUGAGUGCUAAGUGUUGGAGGGUUUCCGCCCUUCAGUGCUGCAGCUAACGCAUUAAGCACUCCGCCUGGGGAGUACGACCGCAAGGUUGAAACUCAAAGGAAUUGACGGGGGCCCGCACAAGCGGUGGAGCAUGUGGUUUAAUUCGAAGCAACGCGAAGAACCUUACCAGUCUUGACAUCCUUUGACCACUCUAGAGAUAGAGCUUCCCCUUCGGGGCAAGUGACA